ACAGAGGGGGCAAGCGUUAUUCGGAAUUAUUGGGCGUAAAGGGCGCGUAGGCGGCUUGGCAAGUGGAUGGUGAAAUCCCUCGGCUUAACCGAGGAACUGCCAUCCAGACUGCUUUGCUUGAGGCCGGGAGAGGUGAGUGGAAUUCCCAGUGUAGCGGUGAAAUGCGUAGAUAUCCGGAAGAACACCUGCGGCGAAGGCGGGUUGCUGGGCUGAUACUGACGCUGAUGCGCGAAAGCCAGGGGAGCGAACGGGA
rnacentral:rRNA from 1 species